rnacentral:rRNA from 1 species
CCCGCACAAGCAGCGGAGCGUGUGGUUUAAUUCGAUGCUACACGAAGAACCUUACCAGCCUUGACAUGUCCGGACCGAUCCCUGAAAGGGGAUUUUCCCAGCAAUGGGCCGGAACACAGGUGCUGCAUGGCUGCCGUCAGCUCGUGUCGUGAGAUGUUGGGUUAAGUCCCGCAACGAGCGCAACCCUCGCCAUUAGUUGCCAUCAUUUAGUUGGGCACUCUAGUGGGACUGCCGGUGAUAAGCCGGAGGAAGGUGGGGAUGACGUCAAGUCAUCAUGGCCCUUACGGUUUGGGCUACACACGUGCUACAAUGGCGGUGACAGUGGGCAGCCACUCAGUAAUGAGGAGCUAAUCCCAAAAAGCCGUCCCAGUUCGGAUUGAGCUCUGCAACUCGAGCUCAUGAAGUCGGAAUCGCUAGUAAUCGCGGAUCAGCACGCCGCGGUGAAUACGUUCCCGGGCCUU